GAGAUACCCUAUGAUUUUGAUGAAGAUGAAGGGAGUGAGGAGAAUAAGGAAAACCCAUUGCUUGAUGAGGAAAAGAAGAAGAAAGCAAGGAAACUCACUAGGAACAUGCAAAAGAAGAACGAAAAAAAAUAUGAUGUUGGUUGCUAUAUGUGCCGUGCAAGAUUUAACACACUUGGUGGCUUGCAAAGUCAUCAAAUCACGCACUACAAGUUCUUCAAGGCUUGUCAAGUGUGUAGUUUGAGAUUUGCAAGUCAUUUGGAGUACCAAGAUCAUGUAAAUGCUAAUUAACCCAUAUGUUUUGGUUUUAUUAAGUCAUUUAACUAUUAAGUUAACAUCUAAUUAGCCCUUUGUUCUUUCCUCUAAUUUUUCAGGUGUGUCCACCCAAGCCAAUGUUGAAGGUUAGCGGCUAG
rnacentral:lncRNA from 1 species